rnacentral:misc_RNA from 1 species
AACGAGGCCGACCUGCGGCUGAGUUACCUGCGGAGGGAUCAUUACUGAAUUGAUUUUGGGGAUGUUGCUGGUCUCUUGAGGCAAUGGUGCACUCCCUCAAACAUUUCACAAUUUCCAUCUCACCCAUGUGCACAUCCUGUAGGUGGUCUCCCAACCCCCCCCCACCUUUCCUUGGGGGAGUGUGUGGGUCUGGUCUCCUAUGUAUUUCCUUGCCAACAUCACGCGUUUUGACUGAAUGAA